GGGGAUGAUCGGUUUCGACAUCGCCUGAGAAGCUGCGAGAAGCGGGCCGAGGAUGCAGGGUUAUCUCGUUAACGAUCUCUGCGACCAAUAGGUGCCAAUGCUAAGCGCACCGACUUCGCUCUCGCCGCCUAAGGCGGAGUAGGAGUCCGUCAGUCCGGGUUCGUCCUCGCCCCGGAUCCUGGCGUCAUCAAGAGGACUCGCUGCUCACCUGAGUCUCAGGGGUGAGCGGGACUUGCACUGAGGCUGGGCUCGUCGACCUAGAUGCUCGUGGCAAAGGUCGGAGCCGAGCAGAACGCUUUCACGAGCUGCGCCCGGAGAAGGCGCAGGUCCUCAGCGAUGGACGGGGGUUCGAUUCCCCCCAUCUCCACCA
rnacentral:tmRNA from 1 species